rnacentral:lncRNA from 1 species
CUGCUGUUGUGAACGUUUGCGCGAGUGAUCCUUAACUGUUUCCGCUGUAAGUUAGUCAUCAGUGAGGAAUUUCCUCAACAGGAAUUUCCUCAGUGAUGAAAUUCUAAAAAUCUCCUAUUCAUCCCCCUCUCAAGUCGAUAUAACGCACUUUCAAGCCCGCGCCAGCCCGCAAAAGGGGGUUUGCACGAACUGCAAACGCGUUUUGCGGACCGACGGGAUGUGGGGUCUGCUAGAGUUGCUCUUAGAUGACAAGAAAAAGUCGGUAAACCCCUCCUACAAGAGCAUAAUUAAACGAGAGAAUGAUUUCAUACUAAAACCAUAUUUAAACCAUACCCAUAAUUAUUUUUCAAAACCGUACUUGAAUCAUACCCAUUUACUUCUUAACAUGUCGAUAAAUGUACGUGUAUGCCCAUUAUGUCAUUUUCAGCCCAACCAAAAUAGAACCCAUUAUUUUUUCACCUGAACCAAUUUAAAUCCAAUACCUAAUUACGGGUUUAAAUCGAGUAUAUAACUAUGAAUUUGCGUCAAUGUACAAAUGAUUGUACGAAUUGACAUGUUAAGAUAGCAAAUGAAAUAGAAAAGGUAUAAAUGCAUCUACAACAGUUUGGAAAUAAAAUUAUGCUUAAGAUAGAGUCAUCACACAAUAAGAGGCAAAAAAAUGUCCACGGUUGAAAAGCUCACUCACAAGUGUAUUAACACUAAAUUGCUUAGCCAAAGCACAAGCAAAUACUUCCGAAUUUCAUGUGAUGUUUUCCGUAAUACAUAAUUACGUAGUGCAUUACAGCAUGCACGCGGAUUAAAGAUAUCCAUUCUCGGUCGUCGUUGGUUAUUGCACAUAACCAAUGCGUAGAAACCGGUUCGAAUCCAUAGUUUAUAAU